GACGUGAGUUGGGUUGGCGUUGGUGCCGGUGCCGUUGUUGGAGGCGGCUCCAGAACCCCAAGUGGAAUUUGCAUAAUUUGAAGCAGCAGCACCUCCAACUGUUGAAUCUAAAAAGAUGAAGACUCCAACCACAGACUCUGCCAUAGGAGGAGUGUGGAACUGCACUGACAAUCUUAUACAAGAAUUCCAGUGGCAGAUGACCAACUGUUCUUUCUUCUUCAGGAUCACAUGGGAAGCCUGUAAAAAGCUGCAAACAGAACCCAGGAAUCGAGUCUACCAGUGCUUUUCUCCCAUUCAAGGGGUCCAGAGUACACGUGUUACGCCUAGUGACUGACUGCUUUGACUGACAAGUUCAACAUUGGAAGAUAAUGUAUUAGUUCUAAAUUAGUAAACAAAGUAAUACAAUGGCAUGGGGGUCCUGUUUUUGUUUGCAACACAGUUAUCAGUAGAUCGACAUCACAUCUCUGAAAAGAAAGUUUGCUAAGCUGCAAGGAAGAGCAAGCAUUUUACUCGUCUUUACAAAAGCCUGUGUAUAUUUUAAAAGUUCUAUCAAUCCAACAGCUGUGCUGUAAUAUUUCUGCAAAAUCUCAUAUUCGUAACUUUUUAUUGUAAAUAAAAUCAUUUUGGUGGCAUAC